rnacentral:rRNA from 1 species
CCUACGGGAGGCAGCAGUGAGGAAUAUUGGUCAAUGGACGAGAGUCUGACCCAGCCAAGUAGCGUGAAGGAUGACUGCCCUAUGGGUUGUAAACUUCGUUUAUAUGGGAAUAAAAUGUUCCGCGUGUGGGAUUUUGUAUGUACCAUAUUAAUAAGGGUCGGCUAACUCCGGGCCAGCGGCCGCGGUAAUACGGAGGAUCCGAGCGUUAUCCGGAUUUGUUGGGUUUAAAGGGAGCGUAGGUGGAUUGGUAAGUCAGUUGGGUAAGUUUGCGGCUUAAACGUAAAAAUGCUGUUGAAACUGGCAGUCUUGAGUACAGGAGAGGUGAGUGGAAUUCGUGGUGUAGCGGUGAAAUGCUUAGAUAUCACGAAGAACUCCGAUUGCGAAGGCAGCUCACUGGACUGCAACUGACACUGAGGCUCGAAAGCGUGGGUAUCAAACAGGAUUAGAUACCCCGGUAGUC